GGACGAACGCUGGCGGCGUGCUUAACACAUGCAAGUCGAGCGGUAAGGCCCUUUCGGGGGUACACGAGCGGCGAACGGGUGAGUAACACGUGGGUGACCUGCCCUCAGCUCUGGGAGUAAGCCUGGGAAACCGGGUCUAAUACUGGAUAUGACUCCAUGACGCAUGUUGUGGGUGGAAAGCCUUGUAGCGGCUGAGGAUGGGCCCGCGGCCUAUCAGCUUGUUGUGGGUGAUGGCCUACCAAGCGACGACGGGUAGCCGGCCU
rnacentral:rRNA from 1 species